UACGGAGGAUGAGAGCGUUAUCCGGAUUUAUUGGGUUUACAGGGUGCGCAGGCGGCCUGUUAAGUCAGCGGUAAAAGCCCGGGGCUCAACCCCGGCGAGCCGUUGAAACUGGCGGCCUCGAGUGGGCGAGAAGUAUGCGGAAUGCGUGGUGUAGCGGUGAAAUGCAUAGAUAUCACGCAGAACUCCGAUUGCGAAGGCAGCAUACCGGCGCCCAACUGACGCUCAGGCACGAAAGCAUGGGUAGCGAACAGG
rnacentral:rRNA from 1 species